UGGGGAAUCUUGCGCAAUGGGCGAAAGCCUGACGCAGCCAUGCCGCGUGAAUGAUGAAGGUCUUAGGAUUGUAAAAUUCUUUCACCGGGGACGAUAAUGACGGUACCCGGAGAAGAAGCCCCGGCUAACUUCGUGCCAGCAGCCGCGGUAAUACGAAGGGGGCUAGCGUUGCUCGGAAUUACUGGGCGUAAAGGGAGCGUAGGCGGACUGUUAAGUUAGAGGUGAAAGCCCAGGGCUCAACCUUGGAAUUGCCUUUGAUACUGGCAGGCUUGAGUACGGAAGAGGUAUGUGGAACUCCGAGUGUAGAGGUGAAAUUCGUAGAUAUUCGGAAGAACACCAGUGGCGAAGGCGACAUACUGGUCCGUUACUGACGCUGAGGCUCGAAGGCGUGGGGAGCAAACAGG
rnacentral:rRNA from 1 species